rnacentral:rRNA from 1 species
ACGGAGGGUGCAAGCGUUGUCCGGAAUCAUUGGGCGUAAAGAGUUCGUAGGUGGUAUGUUAAGUCUGGUGUUAAAUCCCGAGGCUAAACUUGGGUUCUGCACCGGAUACUGGCGAACUUGAAUGUGGUAGAGGUAAAGGGAAUUCCUGGUGUAGCGGUGAAAUGCGUAGAUAUCAGGAGGAACACCAGUGGCGAAAGCGCUUUACUGGGCCAUUAUUGACACUGAGGAACGAAAGCCGGGGUAGCAAAUGG